rnacentral:rRNA from 1 species
CCUACGGGAGGCUGCAGUGAGGAAUAUUGGUCAAUGGACGAGAGUCUGAACCAGCCAAGCCGCGUGAAGGAUGACUGCUCUAUGGGUUGUAAACUUCUUUUAUAUGGGAAUAAAAUGUUCCACGUGUGGGGUUUUGUAUGUACCAUACGAAUAAGGAUCGGCUAACUCCGUGCCAGCAGCCGCGGUAAUACGGAGGAUCCGAGCGUUAUCCGGAUUUAUUGGGUUUAAAGGGUGCGUAGGUGGAUUGUUAAGUCAGUUGUGAAAUUUUGCGGCUCAACCGUAAAAUUGCAGUUGAAACUGGCAGUCGUGAGUACAGUAGAGGUGGGCGGAAUUCGUGGUGUAGCGGUGAAAUGCUUAGAUAUCACGAAGAACUCCGAUUGCGAAGGCAGUUCACUGGACUACAACUGACACUGAGGCACGAAAGUGUGGGUAUCAAACAGGAUUAGAUACCCCUGUAGUC